UCUCCGUAGGUGCAUCUGCGGAGGGCACUUUACUGAGUGAGGGCUUCGGUCCGACCUCCAACCCUUUGUGAACCAAACUUGUUGCUUCGGGGGCGACCCUGCCGCUUCGGCGGUGCGGCGCCCCCGGAGGCCAUUAAACACUGCAUCAUUGCGUCGGAGUUAAAGUAAAUUAAACAAAACUUUCAACAACGGAUCUCUUGGUUCCAGCAUCGAUGAAGAACGCAGC
rnacentral:misc_RNA from 1 species